CCNAUUCUGNAAGAUUCCAGNUACUGGNCCNCCUUGAANCUAGACUAAUUACUUCUGGAAAAACCCACUCCCAUGGUGUGACGGGCGGUGUGUACAAGACCCGGGAAACGUUUUCCCCGCGAACAUGUUGAUCCGCGAUUACAAGCGAUUCCAACUUCCCNCANCCAAUUUGCAGACUGCGAUCCGGACUACGAUCGGGUUUCUGGGAUUGGCUCCCCCUCGCGGGUUGGCGACCCUCUGUCCCGACCAUUGUAUGACGUGUGAAGCCCUACCCAUAAGGGCCAUGAGGACUUGACGUCAUCCCCACCUUCCUCCGGUUUGUCACCGGCAGUCUCCAUUAAGAGUGCCCUUUCGUAGCAACUAAAUGACAAAGGGUUGCGCUCGUUUGCGGGGACUUUAACCCCAACAUCUCACGAACACGAAGCUGAACGAACAGCCAUGCAGCAACCUGUGUUCCGGUUCUCUUGCGAGA
rnacentral:rRNA from 1 species